AUUGAACGCUGGCGGCAUGCUUUACACAUGCAAGUCGAACGGCAGCGCGGGCUUCGGCCUGGCGGCGAGUGGCGAACGGGUGAGUAAUACAUCGGAACGUGCCCAGUAGUGGGGGAUAGCUCGGCGAAAGCCGGAUUAAUACCGCAUACGACCUGAGGGUGAAAGCGGGGGAUCUUCGGACCUCGCGCUAUUGGAGCGGCCGAUGGCAGAUUAGCUAGUUGGUAGGGUAAAGGCCUACCAAGGCGACGAUCUGUAGCUGGUCUGAGAGGACGACCAGCCACACUGGGACUGAGACACGGCCCAGACUCCUACGGGAGGCAGCAGUGGGGAAUUUUGGACAAUGGGCGAAAGCCUGAUCCAGCAAUGCCGCGUGUGUGAUGAAGGCCUUCGGGUUGUAAAGCACUUUUGGCGGGAACGAAAAGGACUGUGCCAAUACCACGGUUCGAUGACGGUACCCGCAGAAUAAGCACCGGCUAACUACGUG
rnacentral:rRNA from 1 species